rnacentral:tRNA from 1 species
GCCCGGGUGGUGAAAUUGGUAGACACGCAAGACUUAAAAUUUUGUGGCCGUAAGGCCAUGCGGGUUCGAUUCCCGCCCCGGGCA